CAAACCCACAGGCUCCCUGUUUCUCUUCUUGCUGACCUCAGGAUGCUGCCUGAGAUCAAGGAUGAGCAGGAAGGGGAACACAGCCCUGGAACAGGAUGGGGCAGAACCAGAACCUCACCUGCUGCCAUGAUGCUGUGAAUUCAACAUUUCACUCAAGCAAACCUGCAUUUCCUGGCAGUGCUGGGGCUGGCCUGGAAUCCAGACCUGGUCUGCUCAAGACAGGGAAAAGGGAAUAGGAGUCCUGUGGGGAGAGAAUGCCUUGGCAGGCACCCCUAAGUCAUUCACCUUUCUGGAGAAACUACAGCAGCACCACAGCUACAGCCUGAUGGGCACUGAGCUCCAUGUCUGGAGGCUGAGCAGCAAAUGCUUCGUGUCCUGCAUUGAGCUGGAGAGCAAGGUGAAUUUGUGGACUUUCCUCCUGAGAGAUGCUAUCAGGACAAGCUGUGAAGUUGGAUAGCUGAAACAGAUCAAGCCAAAUUUCUAAACACCAGUACACAAGUAAGCACUGUAAGUAAUUUGCAAGCUAGAGAAAGUGAGCCAAAAAUCACUUCUCGAGACAUACACGAGUCUGAGCAGAAUUAUGUGAAACUCUGCCCCUUCUGACAGCGACACUGAAUGUGGGCAAGUGCAUUUUGUGAUGUGGCACUGCUGAGCAUGAGCCUGUUGGGAG